rnacentral:rRNA from 1 species
UGACGAGUGGCGCACGGGUGCGGAACGCGUAUGGAACCUGCCCCUGUCAGGGGAAUAGCCCAGAGAAAUUUGGAUUAAUGCCCCAUGGUAUCUUAUCGUUGCAUGACGAAGAGAUUAAAGAUUUAUCGGACAGGGAUGGCCAUGCGUACCAUUAGCUGGUUGGUGAGGUAACGGCUUACCAAGGCAACGAUGGUUAGGGGCCCUGAGAGGGGGAUCCCCCACACUGGUACUGAGACACGGACCAGACUCCUACGGGAGGCAGCAGUGAGGAAUAUUGGACAAUGGCCGAAAGGUUGAUCCAGCCAUGCCGCGUGCAGGAUGACUGCCCUAUGGGUUGUAAACUGCUUUUAUACGGGAAGAAACCUGUCCACGUGUGGACAGCUGACGGUACCGUAAGAAUAAGGACCGGCUAACUCCGUGCCAGCAGCCGCGGUAAUACGGAGGGUCCGAGCGUUAUCCGGAAUCAUUGGGUUUAAAGGGUCCGUAGGCGGGCCUGUAAGUCAGGGGUGAAAGGCCACGGCUCAACCGUGGGACUGCCCUUGAUACUGCAGGUCUUGAGUUAUGGUGGGGUUGCCGGAACAUGUGGUGUAGCGGUGAAAUGCAUAGAUAUCACAUAGAACACCGAUCGCGAAGGCAGGUGACCAACCAUAUACUGACGCUGAUGGACGAAAGCGUGGGUAGCGAACGGGAUUAGAUACCCCGGUAGUCCACGCCGUAAACGAUGGAUACUAGCUGUCGGGUCUUCGGACUCGGCGGCCAAGCGAAAGUGAUAAGUAUCCCACCUGGGGAGUACGUUCGCAAGAAUGAAACUCAAAGGAAUUGACGGGGGCCCGCACAAGCGGUGGAGCAUGUGGUUUAAUUCGAUGAUACGCGAGGAACCUUACCAGGGCUUAAAUGCGGGCUGCAUGGGACAGAGACGUCCCUUUCUUCGGACCGCCCGCAAGUGCUGCAUGGUUGUCGUCAGCUCGUGCCGUGAGGUGUCA